rnacentral:rRNA from 1 species
AGAGUUUGAUCAUGGCUCAGAACGAACGCUGGCGGCGUGCCUAACACAUGCAAGUCGAACGUGAUUAGAGAGCUUGCUCUCUAUGAAAGUGGCGCACGGGUGAGUAACGCGUAGAUAAUCUGCCUGAUGAUCGGGGAUAACACUUCGAAAGGGGUGCUAAUACCGGAUAAGCCCACGGAGUCUUUGGAUUCUGCGGGAAAAGGGGGGGACCUUCGGGCCUUCUGUCAUCAGAUGAGUCUGCGUACCAUUAGCUAGUUGGUAGGGUAAAGGCCUACCAAGGCGACGAUGGUUAGCUGGUCUGAGAGGAUGAUCAGCCACACUGGAACUGAGACACGGUCCAGACUCCUACGGGAGGCAGCAGUGGGGAAUUUUGCGCAAUGGGGGAAACCCUGACGCAGCAACGCCGCGUGAGUGAUGAAGGCUCUUGGGUCGUAAAGCUCUGACAGAGGGAAAGAAGUGUAUUGUGGCUAAUAUCCAUGAUACUUGACGGUACCCUCAAAGGAAGCACCGGCUAACUCCGUGCCAGCAGCCGCGGUAAUACGGGGGGUGCAAGCGUUGUUCGGAUUUAUUGGGCGUAAAGCGCGUGUAGGCGGUUUGUUAAGUCUGUUGUGAAAGCCCCGGGCUCAACCCGGGAAGUGCACUGGAUACUGGCAAACUUGAAUACGGGAGAGGGUAGUGGAAUUCCUGGUGUAGGAGUGAAAUCCGUAGAUAUCAGGAGGAACACCGGUGGCGAAGGCGGCUACCUGGACCGAUAUUGACGCUGAGACGCGAAAGCGUGGGUAGCAAACAGGAUUAGAUACCCUAGUAGUCC